GUGAGGAAUUUUCCGCAAUGGGCGAAAGCCUGACGGAGCAAUGCCGCGUGAAGGAUGAAGGCCUAUGGGUUGUAAACUUCUUUUCUCAGAAAAGAAUUAUGACGGUAUCUGAGGAAUAAGCAUCGGCUAACUCUGUGCCAGCAGCCGCGGUAAGACAGAGGAUGCAAGCGUUAUCCGGAAUGAUUGGGCGUAAAGCGUCUGUAGGUUGUUUAAAAAGUAUUCUGUCAAAGAUUAGGGCUUAACCCUAGAUAGGCAGAAUAAACUUUUAAGCUAGAGUUUUGUAGAGGCAGAGGGAAUUCCCGGUGGAGCGGUGAAAUGCGUAGAUAUCGGGAGGAACACCAAAGGCGAAGGCACUCUGCUGGGCCAAUACUAACACUGAGAGACGAAAGCGAGGGGAGCAAAUGGGAUUAGAAACCCGAGUAGUCC
rnacentral:rRNA from 1 species